rnacentral:rRNA from 1 species
AUUGAACGCUAGCGGGAUGCUUUACACAUGCAAGUCGAACGGAGUGGCGGACGGGUGAGUAAUAUAUCGGAACGUGCCCAAUAGCGGGGGAUAACUACUCGAAACAGUGGCUAAUACCGCAUACUAUUGGAGCGGCCGAUAUGGGAUUAGCUAGUUGGUGGGGUAACGGCUCACCAAGGCAACGAUCCGUAGCUGGUGUGAGAGGACGACCAGCCACACUGUGAUUGAGACACGGCCCAGACCCCUACGGGAGGCAGAAGUGGGGAAUUUUGCACAAUGGGCACAAUCCUGAUGCAGCCAUGCCGUGUGUAUGAAGAAGCCCUUCGGGUUGUAAAGUACUUUCAGAGGGGAGGCGUUACCCGAAGAAGAAGCACCGGCUAACUCCGUGCCAGCAGCCGCGGUAAUAC